AGAGCUAUAGAGAGCGGAAAAUGCGAUUCUCCUUUCCAUGGAGGAAUUUCGGGUACGAAAAAGAAGACCACAAAGGGUCUUCUUCGUUAUAGCUCUA
rnacentral:tRNA from 1 species